rnacentral:rRNA from 1 species
UCAAGUUAUUAAGGGUGCAGGGCGGAUGCCUUGGCACUAGGAGCCGAUGAAGGACGUGAUAAGCUGCGAUAAGCUUCGGGGAGUUGCACGUAAACUUUGAUCCGAAGAUUUCCGAAUGAGGAAACUCACUUAGAGUAAUGUCUAAGUAUCAUUAAGUGAAUACAUAGCUUAAUGAGGGGAACUCAGGGAACUGAAACAUCUAAGUACCUGAAGGAAGAGAAAGAAAUUCGAUUCCGUAAGUAGCGGCGAGCGAACGCGGAUUAGCCCAAACCAAUAAAGUUUUCUUUACUGGGGUUGCGGACAUAUCAUAACGAAGAGGUAUCGUAAUUGAAGAGGUUUGGAAAGACCCACCACAGAAGGUAAUAGUCCUGUAUGUUAAACGAGAAGACUUCAGAUAUGAUCCAGAGUACCACGGGACACGUGAAACCCUGUGGGAAGCAGGAGGGACCACCCUCCAAGGCUAAAUACUACCUAGUGACCGAUAGCGUAUAGUACCGUGAGGGAAAGGUGAAAAGAACCCCGGGAGGGGAGUGAAAUAGAACCUGAAACCCUGCACUUACAAGCUGUGGAAGCACAUUUCUUGUGUGACCGCGUACUUUUUGUAGAACGGGCCAACGAGUUACGUUAAGUAGCAAGGUUAAGCACUUAAGGUGCGGAGCCGUAGCGAAAGCGAGUUUUAACUGAGCGUUCAGUUACUUGACGUAGACCCGAAACCGGGCGACCUACCCAUGAGCAGGAUGAAGCGAAAGUAAAAUUUCGUGGAGGUCCGAACCCACGAGCGUUGAAAAGCUCGGGGAUGACUUGUGGGUAGCGGUGAAAUUCCAAUCGAGCCCGGAGAUAGCUGGUUCUCCCCGAAAUAGCUUUAGGGCUAGCCUCAAGGUGAGAGAUACGGAGGUAGAGCACUGAAUGUCCUAGGGGGUAUUGCACCUACCGAAGACUAUCAAACUCCGAAUGCCGUCAUCUUAUACUUGGGAGUCAGACUGUGGGUGAUAAGAUUCAUAGUCGAAAGGGCAACAGCCCAGAUCGUCAGCUAAGGUCCCUAAAUGUAAGUUAAGUGGUAAAGGAUGUGGGAUUGCACAGACAACCAGGAUGUUGGCUUAGAAGCAGCCACUCAUUCAAAGAGUGCGUAAUAGCUCACUGGUCGAGUGAUCCUGCGCCGAAGAUUUCCGGGGCUAAAACUUACUACCGAAGCUACGGCAUCAGUAAUGAUGGGUAGGGGAGCUUCCCAUACGGGUUGAAGCAUGACCGUAAGGACAUGUGGACAGUAUGGGAGUGAGAAUGUUGGCAUGAGUAGCGAGAUGUGGGUGAGAAUCCCACAGGCCGUAAACCCAAGGUUUCCAGGGGAAGGUUCGUCCGCCCUGGGUUAGUCGGGACCUAAGCUGAGGCCGAAAGGCGUAGGUGAUGGACAACAGGUUGAUAUUCCUGUACUACCGAUAACCGUUUGAGAGAAGGGAUGACACAGUAGGAUAAGCUAAGCACACUGUUGGUUAUGUGUGCCCAAGCAUUGAGGCAGUCAAAGCAGGCAAAUCCGCUUUGAUAAUGCUGGGAUGUGAUGGGGAGCGAAAUUUAGUAGCGAAGUAGCUGAUUUCACACUGUCAAGAAAAGUCUCUAUCGAGGUUAAAGGUACCCGUACCGCAAACCGACACAGGUGGGUGAGGAGAGUAUCCUAAGGCCAGCGAGAGAACUGUUGUUAAGGAACUCGGCAAAAUGACCCCGUAACUUAGGGAUAAGGGGUGCCACCAUCCGGUGGCCGCAGAGAAUAGGCCCAAGCGACUGUUUACCAAAAACAUAGGUUUCUGCUAAGUCGCAAGACGAUGUAUAGGAGCUGACGCCUGCCCGGUGCUGGAAGGUUAAGGGGAUCUGUUAGAGCAAUCGAAGCAGUGAACUUAAGCCCCAGUAAACGGCGGCCGUAACUAUAACGGUCCUAAGGUAGCGAAAUUCCUUGUCGGGUAAGUUCCGACCCGCACGAAAGGCGUAACGAUUUGGGCACUGUCUCAACAACAGACUCGGUGAAAUUGUAAUUCCGGUGAAGAUGCCGGAUACCUGCGACAGGACGGAAAGACCCCAUGGAGCUUUACUGUAGCUUGACAUUGGGUCUUGGUACUACAUGUACAGGAUAGGUGGGAGGCUUUGAAACCAGGACGCCAGUUUUGGCGGAGCCAUCCUUGGGAUACCACCCUUGUAGUACUGGGACUCUAACCAUAGGCCAUGAAUCUGGUCUUGGGACACUGUCAGGUGGGCAGUUUGACUGGGGCGGUCGCCUCCCAAAAGGUAACGGAGGCGCUCAAAGGUUCUCUCAGUACGGUCGGAAAUCGUACGUAGAGUGUAAAGGCAAAAGAGAGCUUGAUUGCAAGACAUACAGGUCGAGCAAGGAUGAAAAUCGGACUUAGUGAUCCGGUGGUUCUGCGUGGAAGGGCCAUCGCUCAACGGAUAAAAGCUACCCUGGGGAUAACAGGCUUAUCUCCCCCAAGAGUCCACAUCGACGGGGAGGUUUGGCACCUCGAUGUCGGCUCAUCACAUCCUGGGGCUGUAGUAGGUCCCAAGGGUUGGGCUGUUCGCCCAUUAAAGUGGUACGCGAGCUGGGUUCAGAACGUCGUGAGACAGUUCGGUCCCUAUCCGUCGCAGGCGUAGGAAAUUUGAGAAGACCUGUCCUUAGUACGAGAGGACCGGGAUGGACGUACCUCUGGUGUACCAGUUGUCCUGCCAAGGGCAUGGCUGGGUAGCUAUGUACGGAAUGGAUAAGCGCUGAAAGCAUCUAAGCGCGAAGCCAACUUCAAGAUAAGAUUUCCCACCGCAAGGGUAAGACCCCAGAAAGACUAUCUGGUUGAUAGGUCGAAGGUGUAAGUGCAGCAAUGUAUUUAGCUUAUCGAUACUAAUAGGUCGAGGACUUGACCAA